AGUGAACGCUGGCGGUAGGCCUAACACAUGCAAGUCGAACGGCAGCACAGAGGAGCUUGCUCCUUGGGUGGCGAGUGGCGGACGGGUGAGGAAUACAUCGGAAUCUACUUUUUCGUGGGGGAUAACGUAGGGAAACUUACGCUAAUACCGCAUACGACCUACGGGUGAAAGCAGGGGAUCUUCGGACCUUGCGCGAUUGAAUGAGCCGAUGUCGGAUUAGCUAGUUGGCGGGGUAAAGGCCCACCAAGGCGACGAUCCGUAGCUGGUCUGAGAGGAUGAUCAGCCACACUGGAACUGAGACACGGUCCAGACUCCUACGGGAGGCAGCAGUGGGGAAUAUUGGACAAUGGGCGCAAGCCUGAUCCAGCCAUACCGCGUGGGUGAAGAAGGCCUUCGGGUUGUAAAGCCCUUUUGUUGGGAAAGAAAUCCAGCCGGCUAAUACCUGGUUGGGAUGACGGUACCCAAAGAAUAAGCACCGGCUAACUUCGUGCCAGCAGCCGCGGUAAUACGAAGGGUGCAAGCGUUACUCGGAAUUACUGGGCGUAAAGCGUGCGUAGGUGGUCGUUUAAGUCCGUUGUGAAAGCCCUGGGCUCAACCUGGGAACUGCAGUGGAUACUGGRCGACUAGAGUGUGGUAGAGGGUAGCGGAAUUCCUGGUGUAGCAGUGAAAUGCGUAGAGAUCAGGAGGAACAUCCAUGGCGAAGGCAGCUACCUGGAC
rnacentral:rRNA from 1 species